GAUGAACGCUAGCGAUAGGCCUAACACAUGCAAGUCGAGGGGCAGCAUAGAGUAGCAAUACUUUGAUGGCGACCGGCGCACGGGUGAGUAACACGUAUGCAACCUACCUACUUCAGGGGAAUAACCCGGAGAAAUUCGGACUAAUACCGCAUGAUACAGGGAUGCCGCAUGGCAAUAUUUGUUAAAGAUUUAUCGGAUGUAGAUGGGCAUGCGUUCCAUUAGCUAGUUGGUAAGGUAACGGCUUACCAAGGCAACGAUGGAUAGGGGAACUGCGAGGUUUGUCCCCCACGCUGGAACUGAGACACGGACCAGACUCCUACGGGAGGCAGCAGUGAGGAAUAUUGGUCAAUGGACGAGAGUCUGAACCAGCCAAAUCGCGUGAAGGAAGACUGCCCUACGGGUUGUAAACUUCUUUUGUACAGGAAUAAAAGACAUUACGUGUAAUGUAUUGCAUGUACUGUACGAAUAAGCAUCGGCUAACUCCGUGCCAGCCGCCGCAGUAA
rnacentral:rRNA from 1 species